rnacentral:lncRNA from 1 species
UGCCCGGAAUAGGUCGGUCAGCUGUGUAAGCUGUAGUACCCGAAAUGGCGGGUUGAUAAUUUCAAUUUUAGUUAGUAAAGCCUUUUAGUUCACCAGUGAGAGAAAAAUACCCCUUGUUUUCUGGAGUAGGGAUUGAAGUACUUCGAUGGAACCUCACUAAAAUCAAUCCGCCUUUUGGGGAAAUAAUAUAAAGCGACAUGAGAAAUCAUAGACCCUCACCCACCUGAGAGGAACCUAUUCCGGCUACAUAGUCAGUCACCUGGGAGCAAGCGAAGCGUUCCAGCUUCAUUUUCUGUCUACAGCUGUGCUUACAGGAAGCAUGGUUUGGCACUAUCCUCGUGCUCAUUUUCUGGGAACCUUUUGGUUAUACGUUUGAGGAAUGGAUUGGUUUGGGAACACUCAGUUUGGUGAUUUGAGUAACUUUUGUGUUCUAUAUUUCGGACUUUUGGUAAUGCACUAUGUUUAUAAAUUAUUUUUUUCAGAUUGUGCGUACCUUUGUUUUUAUAUGACAUAUUUGUAUGUUAUUGUAUUUGGUUCCCAAACUUUGUAUCUAUGGUAACUUCUUGUGCACAGGAAUAAGCCUAGAGAAAAUUAGGUUUUAAUACUUUAUUAUUGCUUUGAUAUUGGUUUAUGUAAUUCGGGUAAAUUUAUUUUGUAAUAUUACUUGCUUGUUUCCCAAAAAUUUUAUUGUUAUUUGCUUUAUUCCAUUUGUUCGGUUAAUUUAGGUCAUCGUCGGUAUUUAUCACAACUUCAUUUCUAUUUCAUUCAUUGUAUACUUAACUUACUUACUUCAUUAUUGUAUUUUCCCUUAGUAAGGCUUGGUCCUAUUUAUUUGUAUUAUUUUCAUCUUUGUCGGUUUCAUUUAGUUGUAUGUGGCAAGCGUACUAUAACCAUUUGGUAAAGAGGACUCAUGUGAGUUGUACCCUAUAUGUAAGUGAGAGGUAAUUUGUAACAGAUUAGUUAUUGUAGUUAGCACAAAUAUAACUUUUGUAUAACUUUUGUCAUGUUAGAUUCACAGCAUAAUAUGAACUUGCUUAACUCAGAGAUUGUUAAAAAUCUGGUAGUUAUUUUAAUAAAUGUUUAUUUAUUUUGUA